rnacentral:rRNA from 1 species
AUGAUGCCCAGCUUGCUGGGCGGAUUAGUGGCGAACGGGUGAGUAAUACGUGAGUAACCUGCCCUUGACUCUGGGAUAAGCCUGGGAAACUGGGUCUAAUACUGGAUACUACCUCUUACCGCAUGGUGGGUGGUGGAAAGGGUUUUACUGGUUUUGGAUGGGCUCACGGCCUAUCAGCUUGUUGGUGGGGUAAUGGCUCACCAAGGCGACGACGGGUAGCCGGCCUGAGAGGGUGACCGGCCACACUGGGACUGAGACACGGCCCAGACUCCUACGGGAGGCAGCAGUGGGGAAUAUUGCACAAUGGGCGGAAGCCUGAUGCAGCGACGCCGCGUGAGGGAUGACGGCCUUCGGGUUGUAAACCUCUUUCAGUAGGGAAGAAGCGAGAGUGACGGUACCUGCAGAAGAAGCGCCGGCUAACUACGUGCCAGCAGCCGCGGUAAUACGUAGGGCGCAAGCGUUGUCCGGAAUUAUUGGGCGUAAAGAGCUCGUAGGCGGUUUGUCGCGUCUGCUGUGAAAGCCCGGGGCUCAACCCCGGGUCUGCAGUGGGUACGGGCAGACUAGAGUGCAGUAGGGGAGACUGGAAUUCCUGGUGUAGCGG